GAAAUGCGAUAAGUAAUGUGAAUUGCAGAAUUCAGUGAAUCAUCGAAUCUUUGAACGCACAUUGCGCCCCCUGGCAUUCCGGGGGGCAUGCCUGUUCGAGCGUCAUUACACCACUCAAGCCUGGCUUGGUAUUGAGCGACCGCGGCCUGCCCGCGCGCUCCAAUGUCUCCGGCUGAGCCGUCCGUCUCUAAGCGUUGUGAAUAGCGAUCGCUUGCGAGGCCCGGGCGGUUCGACGCCGUUAAACCCCCCCAUUUUCUAUGGUUGACCUCGGAUCAGGUAGGGAUACCCGCUGAACUUAA
rnacentral:misc_RNA from 1 species